UGUAGAUUUCUGUACCAUUUUAUAAUAUAUUACGUCUUUUAGACAAUAACUUUAAAUAUUUAAUGAAAAAUAAAUAGUUGACUGUCAUAUACAUUGUUGUACAUUGUUGUACAUUGUUUAUUAACGAGUUUCAGAUUCAAUAAUGAUCUCGUAUUUUAGUUCCAAGUGUACUUUGUGACGUAUGUUACUACACGGACGUAACAGGAUUUGAAGUGAGUUCAUUGUGUCCUGGUACGUGUUGUGGAACAGGAGAUGACCCUUGCUGUGUAGACUCCGGGUCGAUCAUUGCCAUUGUCAUUGGAGUGUUUGUAUCAUUAGUUUUAUUGCUUAUCCUCACCAUUAUAUGCUGUGCUGAAAGACGACGUUCUAGAAGAAACACAACUCGACGGACCAGGUUACAGAGAAGAUUAUCUGGGUGGAUUGAAGGGACUAGCAACACACAAAACAAUAGUUUAACAAAUGGAACUUCAAGUGACCAGGCUCAAAUGCCACCGAGAUACAGUGAUUUAUAUCCCCGGCCUGAUUCUUCCAUAGGUAACACACGAACGAGUGGAACAGGAUCAGAAGCUAGACGAAGCUUAAUAAGCUCAUUUGGAUCUUUUUUUAGGAACAGUAGUUUGCGGUGGUCAGUAAGACAUGGUGUAAAUUCGGGUGUAUCUCCUAGGGAACAAACCUCAGAAACUGAAACUAUACCCAGCAAUGAAACCAACGUUUAUGAACAACAAGAUACUAAUUUGGUUCAAAAUCAAUUUGAAAAUGCAAGUGUUCCGACUGUUAUCGUAUCGGAAGAUUCAGAAACUUCGAUACCAAGUGUCCAGUUUUCAAGUCUUGACAAAGAUAAUUGUAAAAUGAUAUCUGACAGUCGUUCCAGCUUGAUGAAGUCAAUAGUAGAGGCAGUACCUUCAGUCUUUCAAACAACAAAGAUGAACUAGAUUCCAUUGGACUAAGCAUUAUUUUAUAAUAAAACUAAAUUGAUGUUUUUAAACAAUUCCCUUUUUAUUUUCACUUCAUCUAUAUACAUCAAGAUUGCAGGCAUGACUUAUACAUGCCAUUAGUUGAUAUUUUACAAAAUGAACAGAAACAUUGGAACCUCAGUACUUUAAGACACAUUGUAUUAAAUUUUUUUGUCAGAAUCAACCAGGCAAAUUUUCAAGAUUUCGACCGGAUUGCAUUAAAAACAACUUACGAACGAAUACGAAACACUGUGUUAUGAAAGAAGAAGUUGUGAUAAGAGCCAUAUUUUACCUAUGGAAGUGUAAAAUUCUUAAAACCUUCCAAAAUUAAAUGAAUUCAUCAAUACAUGAAAAUAUCAUAUAGUCUGGUCAUUUUUGUGCAUGAAUUUUAUGUCACUGUGACAUAAUAAACAUGUCUCAAUUGACCCAAAAUAUAAAUUUCAAAUGUAGAUUUUUUGUAAAAUUUAAUGCGAAACAGCAUUUCCUAAAAAGAAACUGAACUGACAUAAACAUCAAUGUAAAAGACACUUUGUAACAUUAUAUCUUUAUUUUAAAUGUUACUCUUAUAUACAUGAAUUGUACAUAACAAUUAGACCAUCUGCAAAAAAUGAAGCAAUGUUUUUACAGAUUUGCACUUUUUCUUGUAAUGCAAGAAAUUUGAAGGCUUUAAGUAAAUAUGCAAGACAAAA